CCUACGGGAGACAGCAGUGAGGAAUAUUGGUCAAUGGACGCAAGUCUGAACCAGCCAUGCCGCGUGCAGGAAGACGGCUCUAUGAGUUGUAACCUGCUUUUGUACGAGGGUAAACGCAGAUACGCGUAUCUGUCUGAAAGUAUCGUACGAAUAAGGAUCGGCUAACUCCGUGCCAGCAGCCGCGGUAAUACGGAGGAUUCAAGCGUUAUCCGGAUUUAUUGGGUUUAAAGGGUGCGUAGGCGGGCGGAUAAGUUAGAGGUGAAAUCCCGAGGCUCAACUUCGGAAUUGCCUCUGAAACUGUUCGGCUAGAGAGUAGUAGCGGUAGGCGGAAUGUAUGGUGUAGCGGUGAAAUGCUUAGAGAUCAUACAGAACACCGAUUGCGAAGGCAGCUUACCAAGCUACUUCUGACGUUGAGGCACGAAAGCGUGGGGAGCAAACAGGAUUAGAUACCCCAGUAGUC
rnacentral:rRNA from 1 species